ACGAACGCUGGCGGCACGCUUAACACAUGCAAGUCGAACGAGAGAAGAGGAGCUUGCUUUUCUGAUCUAGUGGCGGACGGGUGAGUAACACGUGAGCAAUCUGCCUUUCAGAGGGGGAUACCGAUUGGAAACGAUCGUUAAUACCGCAUAACAUAAUUGAACCGCAUGAUUUGAUUAUCAAAGAUUUAUCGCUGAAAGAUGAGCUCGCGUCUGAUUAGCUAGUUGGUAAGGUAACGGCUUACCAAGGCGACGAUCAGUAGCCGGACUGAGAGGUUGAUCGGCCACAUUGGGACUGAGACACGGCCCAGACUCCUACGGGAGGCAGUAGUGGGGAAUAUUGCACAAUGGAGGAAACUCUGAUGCAGCGAUGCCGCGUGAGGGAAGAAGGUUUUAGGAUUGUAAACCUCUGUCUUCAGGGACGAAAAAAGACGGUACCUGAGGAGGAAGCUCCGGCUAACUACGUGCCAGCAGCCGCGGUAAUACGUAGGGAGCGAGCGUUGUCCGGAAUUACUGGGUGUAAAGGGAGCGUAGGCGGGAUCGCAAGUCAGAUGUGAAAACUAUGGGCUUAACCCAUAAACUGCAUUUGAAACUGUGGUUCUUGAGUGAAGUAGAGGUAAGCGGAAUUCCUAGUGUAGCGGUGAAAUGCGUAGAUAUUAGGAGGAACAUCAGUGGCGAAGGCGGCUUACUGGGCUUUAACUGACGCUGAGGCUCGAAAGCGUGGGGAGCAAACAGGAUUAGAUACCCUGGUAGUCCACGCCGUAAACGAUGAUUACUAGGUGUGGGGGGACUGACCCCUUCCGUGCCGCAGCAAACGCAAUAAGUAAUCCACCUGGGGAGUACGACCGCAAGGUUGAAACUCAAAGGAAUUGACGGGGGCCCGCACAAGCAGUGGAGUAUGUGGAUUAAUUCGAAGCAACGCGAAGAACCUUACCAGGUCUUGACAUCGUAUGCAUAGCUCAGAGAUGAGUGAAAUCUCUUCGGAGACAUAUAGACAGGUGGUGCAUGGUUGUCGUCAGCUCGUGUCGUGAGAUGUUGGGUUAAGUCCCGCAACGAGCGCAACCCUUACUGUUAGUUGCUACGCAAGAGCACUCUAGCAGGACUGCCGUUGACAAAACGGAGGAAGGUGGGGAUGACGUCAAAUCAUCAUGCCCCUUAUGACCUGGGCCUCACACGUACUACAAUGGCUGUCAACAGAGGGAAGCAAAGCCGCGAGGUGGAGCAAACCCCUAAAAGCAGUCUUAGUUCGGAUUGUAGGCUGCAACCCGCCUACAUGAAGUCGGAAUUGCUAGUAAUCGCAGAUCAGCAUGCUGCGGUGAAUACGUUCCCGGGCCUUGUACACACCGCCCGUCACGCCAUGGGAGUCGGUAACACCCGAAGCCUGUAGUCUAACCGCAAGGAGGACGCAGUCGAAGGUGGGAUUGAUGACUGGGGUG
rnacentral:rRNA from 1 species